rnacentral:rRNA from 1 species
CAGUCGCCGCGGUAAUACGUAGGUGGUAAGCGUUGUCCGGAAUUAUUGGGCGUAAAGGGCUCGCAGGCGGUUUCUUAAGUCUGAUGUGAAAGCCCCCGGCUCAACCGGGGAGGGUCAUUGGAAACUGGGAAAAUUGAGUGCAGAAGAGGAGAGUGGAAUUCCACGUGUAGCGGUGAAAUGCGUAGAGAUGUGGAGGAACACCAGUGGCGAAGGCGACUCUCUGGUCUGUAACUGACGCUGAGGAGCGAAAGCGUGGGGAGCGAACAGGAUUAGAUACCCCAGUAGUCCCUGUCUCUUAUAA